GCUUCCAUGGCUCAGUUGGUUAGAGCGCCGGUCUCAUAAUAAUGACCACGUGACCGUGGGAAAUCCGGAGAUCGCCAGUUCGACCCUGGCUGGGAGCA